CAUAUCAAUAAGCGGAGGAAAAGAAACCAACAGGGAUUGCCUUAGUAACGGCGAGUGAAGCGGCAACAGCUCAAAUUUGAAAGCUGGCUCCUUUGGAGUCCGCGUUGUAAUUUGUAGAGGAUGAUUCGGCAAGGGCUCCCGCCUAAGUCUCCUGGAACGGAGCGUCAUAGAGGGUGAGAAUCCCGUAUGCGGUGGGCUGCCUAAGCCAUGUGAAUCUCCUUCGACGAGUCGAGUUGUUUGGGAAUGCAGCUCUAAAUGGGAGGUAAAUUUCUUCUAAAGCUAAAUACCGGCCAGAGACCGAUAGCGCACAAGUAGAGUGAUCGAAAGAUGAAAAGCACUUUGGAAAGAGAGUUAAAAAGUACGUGAAAUUGUUGAAAGGGAAGCGCUUGCAGCCAGACUUGUCCGCAGUUGCUCAGCCGGUCUCCUGACCGGUGUACUCUUCUGCGGCCAGGCCAGCAUCAGUUCGGGCGGUCGGAUAAAGACCUCGGGAAUGUAGCUCCUCUCGGGGAGUGUUAUAGCCCGGGGUGGAAUGCGGCCAGCCUGGACUGAGGAUCUCGCUUCGGCUAGGAUGCUGGCGUAAUGGCUGUAAGCGGCCCGUCUUGAAACACGGACCAAGGAGUCUAACAUCUAUGCGAGUGUUUGGGUGUCAAACCCAUGCGCGUAAUGAAAGUGAACGGAGGUGGGAACCCUCACGGGUGCACCAUCGACCGAUCCUGAUGUCUUCGGAUGGAUUUGAGUAAGAGCAUAGCUGUUGGGACCCGAAAGAUGGUGAACUAUGCCUGAAUAGGGUGAAGCCAGAGGAAACUCUGGUGGAGGCUCGCAGCGGUUCUGACGUGCAAAUCGAUCGUCAAAUUUGGGUAUAGGGGCGAAAGACUAAUCGAACCAUCUAGUAGCU
rnacentral:rRNA from 3 species